UAGAUACCCUAUUAUUUUGAAAUCAAAGGAGCUAAGGUAGUAGUAGCUAUCUUCUUAAAACCUAAAAGGUUUGGCGGCACUUGUUCUUUUCAGAGGGACCCGUCUCAUAAACGUAAUGACACGUUAUAUCUCACCCAAAGAGGCUCAUAUACCGUCAUCUAAAUAACUUUAACAGAGGUAUAUUUAAAAAGGAGACGAGUAACUUAGAUCUGGUGUGGCGUUUUUGGGGGUAGGUAGGUCACAACUAAAGAAAAAGUAGACCCUUUUUGUAACCUUUUAGAUGAAAGAGGAUUUGACAGUAAUACUAUCUAAUAUAAUAGUAUGAAUUUGUUCACAAGUGUGCACACAUCGCC
rnacentral:rRNA from 1 species